UACUUAUCCAGAGAGGUGGAGGGACUGGCCCUAUGAAGCCCGACAACCGGCAUUCUCAUUCGAAUGCAGCGGUGUCAAUUCCUGCAGAAUUUUUAAUUCUGAGAGAUAAGGA
rnacentral:ncRNA from 2 species